GCAAUGCCGCGUGUGUGAAGAAGGCCUGCGGGUUGUAAAGCACUUUCAGUUGGGAAGAUGAUGACGUUACCAACAGAAGAAGCACCGGCUAAAUCCGUGCCAGCAGCCGCGGUAAUACGGAUGGUGCGAGCGUUAAUCGGAAUUACUGGGCGUAAAGCGCGCGUAGGCGGCUAAGUCAGUCAGAAGUGAAAGCCCCGGGCUCAACCUGGGAAUUGCUUUUGAUACUGCUUAGCUAGAGUUUGGUAGAGGAUAGUGGAAUUCCAGGUGUAGCGGUGAAAUGCGUAGAUAUCUGGAGGAACAUCAGUGGCGAAGGCGACUGUCUGGACCAAAACUGACGCUGAGGUGCGAAAGCGUGGGUAGCAAACAGGAUUAGAUACCCUGGUAGUCCACGCCGUAAACGAUGUCAACUAGCCGUCGGGUCUAUUUACAGACUUGGUGGCGCAGCUAACGCGAUAAGUUGACCGCCUGGGGAGUACGGCCGCAAGGUUAAAACUCAAAGGAAUUGACGGGG
rnacentral:rRNA from 1 species